AGAAUCAACGCUGGCGGCGUGCCUAACACAUGCAAGUCGCACGAGAAAGGGUAGCAAUACCUGAGUAAAGUGGCGCACGGGUGGGUAACACGUGAAUUAUCUACCUCCGAGUGGGGGAUAACUGAGGGAAACCUUAGCUAAUACCGCAUAAUACCCACGGGUCAAAGGAGCAAUUCGCUCGAGGAGGGGUCGCGGCCGAUUAGUUAGUUGGCGGGGUAAUGGCCCACCAAGACGAUGAUCGGUA
rnacentral:rRNA from 1 species